rnacentral:rRNA from 1 species
GAUGAACGCUAGCUACAGGCUUAACACAUGCAAGUCGCGGGGCAGCAUGGGGGUUGCUUGCAAUCCCCGAUGGCGACCGGCGCACGGGUGAGUAACGCGUAUCCAACCUGCCCUUCACCACGGGAUAACCCGGCGAAAGUCGGACUAAUACCGUAUGUUGUCCAUUGACGGCAUCCGAUUUGGACGAAAGGGUUGGCGGUGAGGGAUGGGGAUGCGUCCGAUUAGCUGGACGGCGGGGUGACGGCCCACCGUGGCGACGAUCGGUAGGGGUUCUGAGAGGAAGGUCCCCCACACUGGAACUGAGACACGGUCCAGACUCCUACGGGAGGCAGCAGUGAGGAAUAUUGGUCAAUGGGCGUAAGCCUGAACCAGCCAAGUAGCGUGCAGGAUGACGGCCCUAUGGGUUGUAAACUGCUUUUAUGCGGGGAUAAAGUGGCCCACGUGUGGGUUUUUGCAGGUACCGCAUGAAUAAGGACCGGCUAAUUCCGUG